GCCUCAGUGGUCGAGUUGGCUAAGACGCUCGUACUGAAGAUUCGAGAGGUCCCAGGUUCGAACUCUGGCUGAAGUG
rnacentral:tRNA from 13 species